CUGUUGUAGGCCUAGACUUUUAUCGGACCACUUCCAGAAACUUCCCCAGCUGGCUCUCCCUGACCCUUUCCCCAAGUUUCUGGUGCGUCAUUGUAGGGAUGUAUUCUGACUGGUUUAUGUCCUAAUGUUAUUUCAUCAGGAACCAGGGGCUCCACUCAUUGGCUUAUUUACACCUUGGAAUCAGUUGGAAUUCUAACUGUAGUUGGCUCAACUGAUUUAUGUUAUGUAGGAGACAGUUUAGAAAGUCAGUAUUUUUCUAUCCUGAUUUCUCAGGCUAGACACGCUACCUGCGUGUGCUGUCAUCUUAAAUUCUGUGACCUAAGGAAAGUUACGUAAUUUCUCUGUGCUUGCAUAGUUGCCAUGCUAUUUAUUUUCAUCUUGCUGACGCUUAGAUAGGUCUGAGAGCCAUUUCAUUUGUUGUGAUAUUGUGUGGGGGACUUUUUAAGUUUCUUCCCUUCAUAUCUGAGCCCAUUUUGGUUUUCAUUCUUAGUUUCUGUUUGAGGGCAAAGUAUUUCAUCUUCUGUUUACUUUUCUGUACCUCAAGAAAAAGGGUGUGGAAGAGAUAAGCAUGGCUGAGAGAAGCAAGACGCAGGCUGUCUUAGAAAACCUGGAUCCUGCUCUAUUUGCUGAGUUGUUGUUCCCUCCAUCUAGUCAUCCACCAGUGAAAGUCUUGGUGAUGCUGAUUCAGGCAAGGGAUGAACACCACACCCUAUUUCAACCAGCAGUGGAGGAGUCUAACUGAUAAUCUCUGAGGGCACCCAAGACUGAGUUUUCUCUGGCCUCCACCCAGCACUUCUGGUCCUGCUCAAUGAUGUCACACAGCCCCAGCCUCUUCAUUUUUCUGCUGUCAUGAAUGGCCUGUUUCCCUUCAUGCUAACAAAAUAGCUGCCUCAGCUCCAGACGUCACAUCCUCAAACAACAAAGUCAAAAAGCAAGCAAGAAAGCAGGUCUGAGAGCUUCUCCUCAGGUAUCACUCUCUUUUCCAGGAGGCAAAUGUUUCCAGAAGUUCCCCACCUGACUUCUGUUUUCUCUUACAUCUCAGUGACUACAACUAUUUUACCCAUCUUCCCUAACCCAAUCACAACAAAAGAGAUAAAUAUAUCCAUUGAAUUAAAACACUCACAAUCUGCCCCCUGGGGCUAAAAGAGGGGUCAACUUUACCUGAGUACAUUUUUACCAAAUCUUUGAAUAAAAUUGGAUUCUGUUAGCA
rnacentral:lncRNA from 13 species